CGAAGAAGAAGCAGCUCGUCAUGUACGUUGUCAGAGAAGCUUACAAACAGAAACGGCAAAUAGAAUAUUAUACAAGUUUCCUGAAUAUUAUCCAAUAUUAUCAAUGUGGUUGAAGGCGAGUGAUACGCAGUGUCUUCCACAGAUUACGAUGAAUGUUGUCAAAGAAAUUGUGGGGUUGGAGAAGGGCUUUAAAUUGGAUGUUUCAAUAUUGACAACUUUGAAGCUUGAGGGCGACUUGUUUCAGAUCUAUGAGGAAGUCAGAGAUGCCACAUAGCUGGAGAGUAGGCAGGCAAAACUGGAGAACUGAAGGACUGAUUUAUUGUUCACAUUUUAAAAUGAAGUUUCUAUGAAUUUCUACAUUUAUAGAAAUGUACGGAUGAUGAAUCUAUUCAUUUUUUUUUUUUUUUUUUUUUUUUUAAGGAGAUGUUAAGCAGAAUGACAGGCUUAGUAACCAGUCACUUUCUUUACAUCUUUUUUCCAUACAAUAAAGAUAAUGGUGACUGAGUUUGUCUUACAUCUUCUUUUGUGUUCCACAGCAGAUGGAGUAUUGGUCUAGAAUGGCAUGAGGGUGAGUGAAUGAUGACAUUAAAGCUGCAGUAGGUAACUUUUGUAAAAAUGUAUUUUUUACAUAUUUGUUAAACCUUUCAUUAUGUCCUGACAGUAGAAUA